UUUGAUUUAUUCUCAGUGAUCUAUCCCAACUGAUUCUGCUGUUUCUUAUUUUCACGUUGAGACUUAGUUUGAGCACUAUUGCAUGUGCAUUUGAAUGAGGAUGAUGCUGUGAGGAGGAAUCAUAGAAUGUUCAAUUUGCGGAUCUAAUGCAAAUUGAUCAAGGAAGAAGCUAAUUGCUAUAAGAUUCAACUGACUGGAUUGAAAGUCCCAUAUUCCUUUGGUCUUAUGCUAGAGAUCAUCCCUUCCCCUCCUUCAACUCACUACUGUAGAGAAACAGGAGAACUUACUCAAAGAUUUCCUCUUUGCCUUCGUUAUGAUGAGUGCUUACAAGAUUUCCUCUUUGAGAUAAUCUGUAACAUACUACUCUUAAGGAAUCUAAAAUUAGGGUCCCUUGCUAGCCAAGAUCUCCAAAAUAAGAAAACCCUUAAAA